rnacentral:rRNA from 1 species
GAUGAACGCUGGCGGCGUGCCUAAUACAUGCAAGUCGAGCGAAUAGAUUAAGAGCUUGCUCUUAUGAAGUUAGCGGCGGACGGGUGAGUAACACGUGGGUAACCUGCCCAUAAGACUGGGAUAACUCCGGGAAACCGGGGCUAAUACCGGAUAACAUUUUGAACCGCAUGGUUCGAAAUUGAAAGGCGGCUUCGGCCGUCACUUAUGGAUGGACCCGCGUCGCAUUAGCUAGUUGGUGAGGUAACGGCUCACCAAGGCAACGAUGCGUAGCCGACCUGAGAGGGUGAUCGGCAACGCUUGGACUGAGACACGGCCCAGACUCCUACGGGAGGCAGCAGUAGGGAAUCUUCCGAAAUGGACGAAAGGCUGACGGAGCAACGCCGCGUGAGUGAUGAAGGCUUUCGGGUCGUAAAACUCUGUUGUUAGGGAAGAACAAGUGCUAGUUGAAUAAGCUGGCACCUUGACGGUACCUAACCAGAAAGCCACGGCUAACUACGUGCCAGCAGCCGCCGUAA